UAUGCUCGGAAGCAUUCUCUCCCUCCCCGCAGCCACGUUUUAAAAGUCAUUAUUAACCCGUUAGGUUUUAGUUGAAGUCCAGAAAAUAAAGGAUGGAAAGGCAGAAAAAUAAAUUGAUUAUUUAGCUUGAUGUUGUCUUUUCUGUUUGGCUAGCUUUAGCUGUGAGGAGAGGAAAAAAUUGGUAUCGUUGGGUGCAUAACGUUCCUCCAUUUAAAAAAAAAAACCUAAAACUUUUCUGAUGAAAGUGGAAAAGAAGUCCACUUUAUCCUUAUAUCAAAUUUCACCAGAAAAUCUGUACCUUGAUAGAAAUUGUACUCUGCGUGUGCUCUGUGGCAUGCUAUGCUUAGUCUUUUAAAAAUAGGCUUUACUUAAUAGAUUAGUUCCAGACAUUCUACUUCAAACUUAUCUUCAAAUCUAGCUGGAAGAUUGCUGAGCCAGAAAACAAGAUCUGCAAGUCUUGAUCUCUUGGGAUCACAUUCUCCAUGGCAUGAAACACAGGCAGUGACUUGGGCUGGCCAGCCACCUCUAACUGCAUGAAGUGGCUUCUCUACAAAAGAUGGUAGGGAAACUCAAGAAGAACCUCUUGGUGGUCUGCCUGGUGAUUAGUUCAGUGACUGUCUUCUACUUGGGGCAACAUGCUAUGGAAUGCCAUCACCAAGUAGAGGAGCGAAGCCAACUGUCCCGACUGGAGCCAGCCAAAGCAACCCUAAGAACCAGCCACAGCAUGAAGGAAAAUGCCACGCUGGCUUAUAACAAAGACAUGCCUUUAAUAUUUAUUGGGGGAGUACCCCGGAGUGGUACAACCUUGAUGCGGGCGAUGCUAGAUGCUCACCCGGACAUCCGCUGUGGAGAAGAGACACGGGUCAUCCCUCGAAUUUUGGCCAUCAAGCAGAUGUGGGCCCGAUCAAGCAAAGAGAAAAUGCGGCUCAAUGAAGCGGGUGUCACUGACGAGGUGUUGGACUCAGCCAUGCAGGCCUUCCUCUUGGAAAUUAUCGUGAAGCAUGGAGAGCCAGCGCCUUACCUGUGCAACAAGGACCCCUUUGCCCUCAAGUCUUUAACUUACCUGGCCAGGAUUUUCCCCAAUGCCAAGUUUAUUUUAAUGGUCAGAGAUGGCCGAGCCUCCGUUCAUUCCAUGAUCUCCAGGAAGGUCACCAUUGCUGGCUUUGAUCUGAGUAGCUACAGGGAUUGCCUGACCAAAUGGAACCGUGCCAUUGAGAUCAUGUACAACCAGUGCUUGGAGGCUGGCCUUGACCGUUGCAUGAUGAUGUAUUAUGAGCAGCUGGUCUUGCACCCCGAGCAGUGGCUCAGGACGCUCCUCAAGUUCCUCCACAUCCCAUGGAAUCCUGCAGUUUUGCAUCACGAAGAAAUGAUUGGGAAAGCUGGGGGAGUGUCCCUAUCAAAAGUUGAAAGAUCUACCGACCAAGUUAUUAAGCCAGUUAAUGUGGAAGCCUUGUCAAAAUGGGUUGGAAACAUCCCCUCAGACGUCCUACAUGAUAUGCCAGUGAUCGCACCGAUGUUGGGGAAGCUUGGCUACGACCCCUAUGGCAACCCACCAAAUUAUGGGAAACCGGAUCAGAAAGUCCUUGAAAACACAAGAAGGGUUUAUAAAGGUGAAUUUCAGCUUCCGGACUUCCUAAAAGAAGUGCCACAGCUAAGGAAGACAGUAGAAAGGAAAUCCCAUAUCCAGCUAAAGUGAAGAAGGAGUUGAUAAAGUAGAGUAACUGAUGCGGUGAACUAGAAGAGUGGCUGUGACUUAACGAAUGUUGGAGUCGUUUUAAAGAAAGCACGAUGGCAAAAUCUACAAAAAUCUGUUUCCUCAGAAUAUGUCCCCAUUUCAUAAUGACAUGUAAACGUCUAUCUUCCUUCUGAGAGUAGCUGUACUGAAAUGCUGGAGAUGUUUGUAGGGAAUGGUUCUGGGAACAAGGCAUUAAAGUGGGAGGACUCCAGGUGGGAAUAUCUCCUGUAUAAAACAUUUUGGAGUUGUGAGAGUCGUGCAGUUAUGGUGUGCCUAUUAAUCUCUGUGACACUAAU